rnacentral:sRNA from 1 species
UCUGGAUCCCACGGCUCGACCAAAGAUUGAGUACACCUACAGACCUGGCGUUGUCAUCGUGACCCCAACACAAGGUCUUAACUUCCCAGCAGCGGAGUACAUGGAGUCGAGGGCUUUAGAGAAAAGUUUGAACGGUGAUGAUGCCCCCAGACACAUUGUUUUGAACAUGGAACACA